GAUGAACGCUAGCGGCAGGCCUAAUACAUGCAAGUCGAACGGUAACAUGAGUAGCAAUACUUGAUGACGAGUGGCGCACGGGUGCGUGACGCGUAUGCAAUCUACCUUUAACUGGUGAAUAGCCCGAAGAAAUUCGGAUUAAUACACCAUAGUAUAUUUGAAUGGCAUCAUUUAAAUAUUAAAACUCCGGUGGUUAAAGAUGAGCAUGCGUGACAUUAGCUAGUUGGUGAGGUAAUGGCUCACCAAGGCUACGAUGACUAGGGGAUCUGAGAGGAUUAACCCCCACACUGGUACUGAGACACGGACCAGACUCCUACGGGAGGCAGCAGUAAGGAAUAUUGGACAAUGGUCGAAAGACUGAUCCAGCCAUGCCGCGUGAAGGAUGACGGCCCUAUGGGUUGUAAACUUCUUUUGUAUGGGAAAAAACCCUUCUUCGUGUAGAAGUCUGAUGGUACCAUAAGAAUAAGGAUCGGCUAACUCCGUGCCAGCCGCCGCAGUAA
rnacentral:rRNA from 1 species